CUGUCAUCCAGAAAGGUGGAGGGACUGGCCCUGAGAAGCCUUGGCAACCGUCACGUUAUCGUGAGCGGUGCCAAUUCCAACCCGGACCGCAGGAACGGGACAAGAUGAUGG
rnacentral:ncRNA from 2 species